AUGCCUACGGGAGGCAGCAGUGGGGAAUAUUGGACAAUGGGGGGAACCCUGAUCCAGCGACGCCGCGUGAAGGAAGAAGGCUUUCGGGUUGUAAACUUCUUUUCUCAGGGACGAAGAAAGUGACGGUACCUGAGGAAUAAGCCACGGCUAAAUACGUGCCAGCAGCCGCGGUAAUACGUAUGGUGCAAGCGUUAUCCGGAUUUACUGGGUGUAAAGGGAGCGCAGGCGGCGCGUUAAGCCUGGUGUGAAAGCCCGCGGCCCAACCGCGGGACUGCAUUGGGAACUGGCGCGCUGGAGUGCCGGAG
rnacentral:rRNA from 1 species